GGCGUGGGGAAGGGAGAGCAAGGGAGGCUGCAGAGGGAAGAGAGCUGCAUCCGACUGGGCUCCAGGCAAGAUCUCAAAGCUCUCAGAGUGAGAACCUCUCACAACCCACAACUGCCAGUCCUGCUCUGCACACCGCACAGCUGGGACACUUAGGGAAGGAGCACGGGAGGCCCACACACUCCUGGAGCAAUGGGGCAAGGAGCCAGGACGUCACCACUGAGCUUUAAACUCCCUUUGCACUACAUGGUCUGACUCCCUCACACCUCCUUCUUGAUCCUCAGCCUAUGGCAGCCUCUCAGGCUUGUUUGCAUUGGUGCACCUCAGUGCACCCAGAGCCCUUCAGGAGCCCUGGCUCUGCCACCAAAGCAGGGCCAAAGGUCUCAGCCCGCCCAGAAACCAGAGCCGAGUCAUUCCAGAGUGUUCCUGUUCAGCAACAAGGAAGAACUCCUCAGUUCGAGCUCCUGGUGGAAAGCCACUCCCCUCCUUUCCCAUUUCAUCCCAGAUGUGGCCAUUUUGGAAGGCAGCAACCUGAGCUGGAUUUCCUCUGAACUCCAUCUGCUCUGAAACACAGCCGGUGACCCAUGAAUAACUGCGUGUGCAUUUGGGGAAAGAGGGAGAAACUCUGAGAAGACUUGUGAGCUUCCAGAGGAGACUGCUGCAGCGCCCGUCGGGACGCGGUGUCCGGCGCCCGUCGCUCCCGGAUCGCCCGCAGCUCGUUCAUACCGUCGCCUGGCAACCGCCGCCCCGUCGCCAUGGGCUCUGAGCGGGACUCCGAAUCGCCGCGCUCCUCCUCCAUCCACUCGGCCGCCGCCAAGUGCCCGAAGCCCGGCCGCCGCCGCCGCCUCUCCUUCCAGAGCGUCUUCUCCGCCGCCGCCGCCUCCGCCG
ensembl:lncRNA